GAUGAAGAACGCAGCGAAAUGCGAUAAGUAAUGUGAAUUGCAGAAUUCAGUGAAUCAUCGAAUCUUUGAACGCACCUUGCGCCCUUUGGCCAUUCCGAAGGGCAUGCCUGUUUGAGUAUCAUGAACACCUCAACUCUUUAUGGUUUUCCAUGAUGAGCUUGGACUCUGGGGGUUUUGCUGGCUCACAGUCGGCUCCUCUAAAAUGAAUCAGCUUACCAGUGUUUGGUGGGUAUCAUGGGUGUGAUAACUAUCUACGCUUGUGGUUUUUCCACCAGGUAACCUUCAGCAGUGGAGGUUCGCUGGAGCUCAUAGAUGCCUCUCCUCAGUGAGGACAGCCCUUUGAAUGUUUGAUCUCAAAUCAGGUAGGACUACCCGCUGAACUUAAGCAUAUCAAUAAGCGGAGGA
rnacentral:misc_RNA from 1 species